AGAAACUUAGGAUUAAACCGCCGCAAACCAAAGGCCUUCAAAGCCUUAAAUAAGAGUUAGACUCUCUUAGUUUCUG
rnacentral:tRNA from 1 species